AACUCUUUAAAAGUUGUUUAUCUUGUGUUUCUAUGUAAAUGAUGUUUCCUCAUUACUUUAAUCCUCAUUAAUUUCCCCAGUAUUCCCUCAUUUCUGUGGUUUUCAAGAUUUUUGCUUUAUUAAUACAUCAAAAAAGCUCAAAUUUGAAAUGUCCAAUUGUUAAUUUUGAAAAAACUGUCAUGUUCAAAAUUUGUAAUCUUGGUGUGUUAGUAAAAAUUGUUGAUGAGGGUUUUGCCUCAUAAUACAUCAGGAAAGCUCAAAUUUGAAAUUUCCAAUUGUUCAUUUUGAAAAAACUCAUGUUCAAAAUUUGUAAUCUCCCUGGUGUUUUAGUAAAAAUUUUGUUGAGGUCUUUGCCUCAUUAAUACAUCAGAAAAGCUCAAAUUUGAAAUUUCCAAUUAAUUUUGAAAAAAAAAUGCUAUGCUCAAAAUUUGUCAUCUCCCUGGUGUUUUAGUAAAAUGUUGUUCUUGAGGUUUGUGCCUCAUUAAUAUUGUAUUCUCCCUGGCGGUUUAGUAAAAAUGUUGUUGUGGGUUUUGCCUCAUUAAUACAUCAGAAAAGCUCAAAUUUGAAAUUUCCAAUUGUUAAUUUUGAAAAAACUGUCAUGUUCAAAAUUUGUCAUCUCCUUGGUGCUUUAAUAAAAAUGUUGUUCUUGAGGGUUUUGCCUCAUUAAUACAUCAGAAAAGCUCAAAUUUGAAAUUUACAAAGGUUAAUUUUGAAAAACUGUCAUGUUCAAAAUUUGUCAUCUCCCUGGUGUUUUAGAAAAAUGUAAUUCUUGAGGAUUUUGCCUCAUUAAUACGUCAGGAAAGCACAAAUUUGAAAUCAGUUGUUAAUUUUGAACAUCACCUUGAUGUUCUUUCUCAUAACACCAUAUGAUGGGCUGCCUGAUACAUUUCAAUUUUAGAGGUAGCCACAUGAGAUAUUUAUUUUUAGUCUUUUAUGUUUAGCAUUCUAAGUUAUUUUAUAUCUUUGCAAAAGUAUCUCUUUUUUUUAAGAUUUUUGCACAGUACUGUAUAUUACGUCAGUGUUUAUACCAUAAAUGGCCUCAUCUCACAUUUGCCGAAUUAAAAAUGAAACUAUAGAAUUUAGUUCAUCCCCUAAAAAUCAAAGCAGUUGCUCCCUGGCGGAAAAAUGCAACCAACUAAAAACAAUAUUAUUAUAUGAUCAUUUAUAUGAUCGUUCUAUUUUGUCUUACAGCAGCUGAAGGCAGAAACUGAAAAAAUACAUAAUUUAUCUUCUUU